rfam:Myotis brandtii contig248635, whole genome shotgun sequence.
GGUGGUUCUCGGGUGACGCACCCCGGAACCAGAGAGGAGGAAGCCUGAUUCCGGGGUGCGUCCCCCGAGAACCGCC